rnacentral:rRNA from 1 species
GGGCCCGCACAAGCGGUGGAGUAUGUGGUUUAAUUCGAUGCAACGCGAAGAACCUUACCAGGGUUUGACAUCCUGCGAAUCUCUUGGAAACGAGAGAGUGCCUUCGGGAGCGCAGUGACAGGUGGUGCAUGGCUGUCGUCAGCUCGUGUCGUGAGAUGUUGGGUUAAGUCCCGCAACGAGCGCAACCCUCGCCCUUAGUUGCCAGCAUUCAGUUGGGCACUCUAAGGGGACUGCCGGUGAUAAGCCGAGAGGAAGGUGGGGAUGACGUCAAGUCCUCAUGGCCCUUAUGUGUUGGGCUACACACGUGCUACAAUGGUACUUACAAUGGGAUGCAAAGAGGUGACUCUUAGCUAAUCCCUAAAAUGUACCUCAGUUCGGAUUGUACUCUGUAACUCGAGUGCAUGAAGCUGGAAUUGCUAGUAAUCG